rnacentral:rRNA from 1 species
GAUGAACGCUGGCGGCGUGCCUAAUACAUGCAAGUCGAGCGAACAGACGAGAAGCUUGCUUCUCUGAUGUUAGCGGCGGACGGGUGAGUAACACGUGGAUAACCUACCUAUAAGACUGGGAUAACUUCGGGAAACCGGAGCUAAUACCGGAUAAUAUUUUGAACCGCAUGGUUCAAAAGUGAAAGACGGUCUUGCUGUCACUUAUAGAUGGAUCUGCGCUGCAUUAGCUAGUUGGUAAGGUAACGGCUUACCAAGGCAACGAUGCAUAGCCGACCUGAGAGGGUGAUCGGCCACACUGGAACUGAGACACGGUCCAGACUCCUACGGGAGGCAGCAGUAGGGAAUCUUCCGCAAUGGGCGAAAGCCUGACGGAGCAACGCCGCGUGAGUGAUGAAGGUCUUCGGAUCGUAAAACUCUGUUAUUAGGGAAGAACAUAUGUGUAAGUAACUGUGCACAUCUUGACGGUACCUAAUCAGAAAGCCACGGCUAACUACGUG